CCCAUCAAUGGUAACUAAAACUAAAAAAAUUAAAUAAAAACUACCAACACCUGGUUAAAACUAAACCCUUGAAAAAGAACCGUGAUCCAAAGAAAAACAAAGGGGGAGUUACUACACUACCUAAAAAUGAAAAAAAUCUUUUUGGUAUUUUCUUUAUACUAACUUUCCUCAAGAACUGUUUCUAUUAUCCGUCAUCAAGAAGAG
rnacentral:lncRNA from 1 species